UUCUAGAGAGACAAACACAAUCUUAAUACCGACUACCUAACUCUUCUCCCACUCCUCUCAAACUCAGAUCUCUCCAACUAUACCCUCACCACGCCGCGAUGGCUCUGAAGGCCGUAACACUGACGCACGUGCGGUACCAUAAGGGCGAUCGGCUGGGCCACUUCCUCGCUUGGGUCUCACUCGUGCCGGUCUUCAUUAGCCUCGGCGGCUUUGUUUCACACUUCAUCUUUCGUCGCGAGCUUCAAGGCAUAUUCUUCGCUAUCGGUCUCUUAAUCUCUCAAUUCAUCAACGAAGUGAUAAAAAAAUCGGUCCAACAAGCCCGGCCUGAAACGUGUGCGCUUUUAGAAAUGUGUGAUUCUCACGGUUGGCCCUCGAGUCACUCUCAGUACAUGUUCUUUUUCGCAGUCUAUUUUAGUCUUUUAAGCUGUCAAGGAAUCGGACUUUGGGGGAUAAAGAACAGGUGGUUUUUGAACGUUCUUCACUGGACUUUGGCUGUGCUGACUAUGUAUUCGAGGGUGUAUUUGGGGUACCAUACGGUGGCUCAAGUGUUUGCCGGGGCUACUUUGGGGAUUUUGGUUGGAGCGGGGUGGUUUUGGGUAGUGAAUUCUUUGUUGUGUUGUUAUUUUCCUGCAAUUGAAGACAGUGCUCUGGGGAAAUAUUUUUAUCUCAAGGAUACUUCUCAUAUUCCUGAUGUGUUGAAAUUCGAGUACGAUAAUGCGAGAGCUGCUAGGAAAGAUAAUGAUAAGGGUUAUAAGAGCAAUUGAUUGAUGAACUGUCAUCUGGGUUUAAUCAUUUGAUGCAAUCGUAGUGGGGAAAAAGUUCAGGCCAAGAUCUCAUACAUCAUAUUGUUCUUGUCAUCACCUUAGUUUUGUCAAUACUGGAGAUGAUUUUGCUUGAUUACAAGGUUGAUCGCUGCAAAUUUGUGUUAUGGAUCCUACUAUCGUUUGUACGGAUGAUCUGAUUAGGCGAUAGUCCUUGUUUGGAUUACUUGACCCUGGAAAUUGUAUGCAAAUGAGCUUGAGAACAGGCUUCGGAGACUAGACUGUGAUACAGUAGCAAAGGCAGCAGAUUAUAAUCGUUGCGGUGGUUUCUAUGUGAAAGAUGGAAGAACAGUUAUAGAAAACGAUGAUUUAAACUGCUUUUACAAAUAUAUAUGACACUAUAUUUAGUGAUAACUUCAGCAUCUUAUAAAUAGUUCAAAAAUUAAUUCCUUGGAAGAAGAGUUGGCAAUAUUAGUCAUAACGUUUCUUUAAA